UGUGAUCAAGCUGUAAAGGGUGCAUGGUGGAUGCCUUGGCGUACAGAGGCGAAGAAGGACGUGGCAGGCUGCGAUAAGCUCCGGGGAGUGGCCAAACACACUUUGAUCCGGAGAUUUCCGAAUGGGGCAACCCGGCGUCACUGGGCAACCAGAUGGCGUCAUCGGCGGCUGAAUGCAUAGGUCGUCGAGGCGAACCCAGGGAACUGAAACAUCUCAGUACCUGGAGGAAAGGAAAACAACCGUGACUCCGUCAGUAGCGGCGAGCGAAAGCGGAUCAGCCCAUGGCUUAGAGCCAUACGUCGUUCCCGAGUCAGCCGAACGAUCUGGAAAGGUCGAUCACAGAAGGUGACAAUCCUGUAGGCGUCAGCGAAGGGACGGCGGUCGAGUAGGUCGGAUGCCGUGGAACUCUGACUGAACAUGCGGGGCCCACCCCGCAAGGCUAAGUACUCCUGUACGACCGAUAGUGGAGCAGUAAUGCGAAUGAAAGGUGAAAAGCACCCCUUCUAGGGGAGUUAAAAGUACCUGAAACCAUGUACCUACAAGCUGUCGGAGCCCGAUUUCGAGACUUCGGUCUUGAACGGGUGACGGCGUACCUUUUGCAUAAUGGACCGGCGAGUUGUCGUAUGCGGCGAGGCUAAGCGCUUCCGGCGCGGAGCCGUAGCGAAAGCGAGUCUGAA
rnacentral:rRNA from 1 species